rnacentral:rRNA from 1 species
UACGGAGGGUGCAAGCGUUAUCCGGAUUCACUGGGUUUAAAGGGUGCGUAGGUGGUUGGUAAGUCAGUGGUGAAAUCCCCGAGCUUAACUUGGGAACUGCCAUUGAUACUAUCAGUCUUGAAUACCGUGGAGGUCAGCGGAAUAUGUCAUGUAGCGGUGAAAUGCUUAGAUAUGACAUAGAACACCAAUUGCGAAGGCAGCUGGCUACACGAAUCAUUGACACUCAGGCACGAAAGCGUGGGGAUCAAACAGG